rnacentral:rRNA from 1 species
CCUACGGGAGGCAGCAGUGGGGAAUAUUGGACAAUGGGGGAAACCCUGAUCCAGCGACGCCGCGUGAGUGAAGAAGUAUUUCGGGAUGUAAAGCUCUAUCAGCAGGGAAGAAAAGGACGGUACGUGACGAAGAAGCUGCGGCUCAAUACGUGCCAGCAGCCGCGGUAAUACGUAUGGAGCAAGCGUUAUCCGGAGUUACGGGGUGUAAAGGGAGCGUAGGCGGCCCGGUAAGUCUGAUGUGAAAAUUUGGGGCACAACCCCAAACGGGCCUUGGAAACUGCAGGGCUUGAGUGCCGGAGAGGCAGGCGGACUUCCUAGUGUAGCGGUGAACUGCGUAGAUAUUAGGCGGAACCCCAGUUGCGCAGGCAGCCUGCUGGACGGUAACUGACGCUGAGGCUCGACAGCGUGGGGAGCAAACAGGAUUAGAUACCCUUGUAGUC